AGUAUGUGAUGAGGACACCUUUUCAGUAUGUCUUUGUAUCUUUCCCAAGCCUCAUAUAAGGAUUCUUGAUUCCACUAAGCAAAAUGUGUAAUCUCGACCAUUAAU